rnacentral:tRNA from 1 species
AGUUGCGUGGCCGAGUGGCAAGGCAGGGGUCUGCAAAACCUUUCACGGUGGUUCAAAUCCACCCGCAACGUC